GUUUGAUAGUACAAAGCAUUAAUGUUACAAAGUCACCUCAUUGAUAUUUAAUAGAUUUGUAAGGUGGUAUAAACCACCUCUUAGGACCUGUUUGGGAAAAGAAAUUUGAGAGAAACUUGAGAAAAUUCUCUCACUCCAUAGCGAGGUAGUUGCCGCAGCUUCACUGCCCAGAGACUACAAGACGACGAGAGAUCUAAAAAGACCCCAGCUCACAAAGGGUGUUUCCAUAAAGAGUUGAGGUGGUGUCAGGCAGGAGUGCACCAGAGUGGGUCCCCGAAGCACAUGGGUACCUUGGAGAAAACUCCCAUCCUGGACACAGAAUCUGUACCUAAGAGGAAAUGACCUGAAACAAGACGAUUUUAUCAAUGUUUAAAGGAAUCAGAAAAAAAGACCUCAGCUCAUGUGGCCCCUUGUUACUGAUUUUGGAAAAGCAACUUAAGAACAGCCUGGUGCCUGGCUAAAAUGUG
rnacentral:lncRNA from 1 species